rnacentral:rRNA from 1 species
AUUGAACGCUGGCGGCAUGCCUUACACAUGCAAGUCGAACGGCAGCACGGGAGCAAUCCUGGUGGCGAGUGGCGAACGGGUGAGUAAUAUAUCGGAACGUGCCCAGACGUGGGGGAUAACGCAGCGAAAGCUGUGCUAAUACCGCAUACGAUCUAUGGAUGAAAGCGGGGGAUCGCAAGACCUCGCGCGAUUGGAGCGGCCGCUAUCAGAUUAGCUAGUUGGUGGGGUAAAGGCCCACAAAGGCGACGAUCUGUAGCUGGUCUGAGAGGACGACCAGCCACACUGGAACUGAGACACGGUCCAGACUCCUACGGGAGGCAGCAGUGGGGAAUUUUGGACAAUGUGCGCAAGCCUGAUCCAGCAAUGCCGCGUGCAGGAUGAAGGCCUUCGGGUUGUAAACUGCUUUUGUACGGAACGAAACGGUCCUUUCUAAUACAGAGGGCUAAUGACGGUACCGUAAGAAUAAGCACCGGCUAACUACGUGCCAGCAGCCGCCGUAA